rnacentral:rRNA from 1 species
CAAUAGCGUAUAUUAAAGUUGUUGCAGUUAAAAAGCUCGUAGUUGGAUUUCUGGUAGGAGUGACCGUUCCGAACUUGAUUGUUCGUGUAUUGUGUUUUCUCCAGCCAUCCUUGUGGAGAACUUUUCUUGCAUUAAUUUGUAGGGAUUGGGACCCGCAUCGUUUACUGUGUAAAAAUUAGAGUGUUUAAAGCAGGCAAUCGCUUGAAUACAUUAGCAUGGAAUAAUAAGAUAGGACUUUGGUACUAUUUUGUUGGUUUGCAUACCAAAUUAAUGAUCAACAGGAACAGUUUGAGGAUAUUCGUAUGAACAUGUCAGAGGUGAAAUUCUUGGAUUUUGAUCAGACGAACUACUGCGAAAGCAUUUAUCAAGGAUGUUUUCAUUAA